rnacentral:rRNA from 1 species
CAGCAGCCGCGGUAAUACAGAGGGUGCGAGCGUUAAUCGGAUUUACUGGGCGUUAAGCGUGCGUAGGCGGCUUUUUAAGUCGGAUGUGAAAUCCCUGAGCUUAACUUAGGAAUUGCAUUCGAUACUGGGAAGCUAGAGUAUGGGAGAGGAUGGUAGAAUUCCAGGUGUAGCGGUGAAAUGCGUAGAGAUCUGGAGGAAUACCGAUGGCGAAGGCAGCCAUCUGGCCUAAUACUGACGCUGAGGUACGAAAGCAUGGGGAGCAAACAGGAUUAGAUACCCGCGUAGUCCCUGUCUCUUAUAC